rnacentral:lncRNA from 10 species
UUUUUUUAAUGCUUUUGCUACAGGUGAGUUUCAUCCUUAACCAUGAGCCCCCAAGUUGGGUAAAUUAACUCACCUAAGGUCAUGCAGGUUAUUGGAAAUGCAGAAGGAAAACAGCUCACCCCAAACCCACACUUCUCCACGCCCUUUCACUCCUGGGGUAUUUUUUCCCCAUCUGGCUUCCUGCCCCAUCAUGGCCACCCUAGAGAAAAGGUUUGUGAACCCUGAAUAUUUGAGAUGGGUCUCAGUUAAUUUAGGAAGUUUUGUUUGUUUAUUUGUUGUUUGUUUUUAAUGAAGUCUCCCUCUGUCGCCCAGG